ACUGGCUACUUUUCUAGUUCAUGGCAACUUAAAAAUGGAAUUAAGGCUUCAAGAAUGAUUUUAGGAAAGCAGUUAGAUAAACAGCUAGACAGUUGUUUAAGAAUAAACGAACUGCAAAUCUCAAAUAUCAUUUGUUUCUAAUGUGGGCAAAGUGGCCAUGUGACUAAGUUUCCAUCUGACCUAUUAUUUAUUCUAUGGUACAGGAGUGAGGGUGGAGAGUAUCUGCUGCUCUUAAAAGACAUUAAGAGUGCAGUGGCGAACAGUACUUUGGAGGCAGAGGAGGAAGGAUCGCUGUUGAGCCAGCAUGGUCUAUGAAGACGGGCUCGCAGCUGCGGCUCCAGUGUCCUGCCUGACAGUCUGCCUACUGCCAUACUUCCCCGCUGAGGAUCACGGAGAAACCCCUGAAAUGGUAGGUGAUGAACCUUAAUGUUAGAGAACACAGCUACAGUGUACUCAUAUACAUAAAGUAAAUAUCAGUUUAGGGAAACAUGAAACAAUUACUGCUGGGUGUCCUGUUAUUUCCUCUGUAGUUUAGCAAUCCAUGCUCCUCAACCCAGUCUCACUUUUACCUUUCCGACCUAGACAUUCUACAGACACUAACAACUAACUCCACCCUGGAGACUCUGAAACACCAUCCGUCAGCCCAGGCUGUGAAUUAAUCCCACACAUCUGUCUCGCCAGCAGAGCUAAGCUGCUGGAUCCUAGAGGUCCCACACGCCUACAGGUUGGUCUAGCACAGUGCCUAGGCGGUCAAUUCCCGGCAGCUCCCAAUCCCUGUCAGCAGUGUCUCUGUCUUGGGAGCUCAAACUACCUCAGUAAGGGGUGCACACUUUAACCACCCCCCCCAUCUAAUCCAGCAAACACUUUGCUGUCCGAGGAGUCCUUCCCUUUCCUAGGGACAAGGAGAAAGAGCGGCUGGAAGGAAUGAGCUGCCUCUGCCUUGGUCACUAGGUGUGUGCUCAUUGCCCAUCUCUCCCUUCUGCACUCCCGUCCAGCAGUGCUGCUCCUGGUUCUUUGCUGACCACACUGCAUCAGUUACCCUUCCCUACAUUGGCUCUUCAGCCUUUCCUUUCCCUCCAACCUAUGCAAUAUGCGCAAGUCACUGACAACCUAGAGAAAAGGACACCCAAAGGUCUCUUCAGCCACGCUCUCUCCAGUUUACAAUGUUUUCCAACUCCUCUUACUGUAUUUUAAACAGGUUAGUCACCUAUGAUGAAUCUACCUCCAUCCUGUCACCUUCAUGCAAACUCGAGUGCCCUGUACCCCGCACACACACUAAUUCUCAUUUGUAGUGGACAUCAGGGAUUCUUACCACUUCCAGGGUUCUGACUCUACUGAGGUUUAUAAUUAGUCUCAACUAAGAUGAAAACAGACAAAAAAAAAAACAAAAAACAAAAAAAAACAAAAAACAAAAACAAAAACAACAAAAAACAACCCCACAAAACUGUUGUAUUGUAGAAGAUAAAGUUCAAUGUACCAGUAAAUAUGAAAUAGUGCACUAUUAAUACUUAAUCACAGGAUUCAUAUGGAUACCGGAAAACCACUACAUUCUUGCCAACCACCUUACACUUCCCUCAUUUUACACACUGUAAAAAUCCUUUAAUCCUUUAUUAUGUUUAUUAUAAAACCACAUAAAUAAAGUACAGGAAGUGACUGUCAAAAAUCAACCUUGUCUGAAUUAGUAAUACUUGGUAAAGCAUAAAAUGUUUUUUUUAAUAAAAAGCCAAAAUAAAACCCUAAAAUAUUCUGAAGUUCAUUUAAAAGGUGUUUUAAACAUAACUGUAAACACAGAAACCAAAGGAGCAGGUGAUGGCACACCUGAUAUAAAAUGAAUGACCCAUCUCCACGAAGGAAGGAGGGCAGCAGGGCAGGCAGGCAGAGUAAGCCUAAGAAAGCCCUUAAGAUGGUCUGGCUCCAUUCGUCGGACACUUCAGCUUUAGCUGCGCUCACUUGUCUUUUGCUACAUGAGGAACACUGGCUACACGUUAGACGUGCCUGUACAAACGCCACACAAGAGAAAAGAGGGAAGCUCAGCAGUCAGUAAUAGGUGGGCUUAUAGCACAACAUGAAAGCAAGGUGGUCCUGUGGAAGCCAGCAACGACAAACCACAAAAAGAAGGUUCUAGAAAGUAAGCUCUGCAGGGUCCAGAUUAACUGCUGGAGGCUGUGAACAGGAAAAGCCGCUGCUGAUGCUCAUGCUAGGCCUGAGCUGGGGCUGGGCCCUCGUAAGCUCACAGCUGAUACAACACUCCACAGAUGCUGUAGAAGACAGAAACUUUCUGCAUCAAACUCCAGGACUUUGGAGCAGUCACUAAGAGAAGGAGCAACCCCAGUUCCCACUGCUCUCCAUUCUAAACGUACCACACGUACCUCAGGCCGGGCUAGAAGCCGGGGAUGCUGAGAACGCAGAAUCUAACACAUUUAAUCACAAGCCUAACCUAUGAACGAGGAGAGAAAUGAGUAACUGUAAAGACUACCUCAGAACUACCCAAAUAAGAUGUCUAAGAACAAAACACUCAAAGAGGACAGUCUCUUCUGACACCUCAAAGCCAGGGCCCUCACUGACAGACAAGAAAUUAUAGUGCCACAAAUUUACUGUGCUCAGUGUAAGCAUAUACCAUAUAAAACAAAUGGAGCUGUAAAGGAGCCCACACCUUGCUGUAUAUGCAGACCAGCAUAUGUCUAACCCUCAGAGCUCUGGAGGCUAGGAAGUCUGAGAUCAAGGUACCAGAAGAUCUCGUGUAUAGCAAAGCCCUUCAUCUUGGUUUGUAGUUGGUUGUUUCCUUGGUAUGUUCUCAUAUGAUGGAGAAGAGAGAAGUAAGUUCCACUGUUCUUCUUAAUGUAGGUCCCAACCCCAAUUACCAAGACUCUAACACCAAGCACAAAGCACCUACCUCCCAAAAGCGUGACCUACAGCGUCAGGUCAGGGCUACAGCUCCAUCACGCAGGGCUGGGGUGGAUGUACCUCAGCUGGUAAAGUGCUUGUCUAACAUACACUAUGCUGGAUUCCAUCUCUAGCACAGCACAAACUAGGUGCAUAGCUGUACAUCCUAUAAUCCCCGCGUUAGAGAAAUACAGGCAGCAAAAUAAAUUAAAAAUAAAGAAAUAAAUCAGAAACUGAAAGCCACCCUCCAUUGUAUAGCAAGCUGAAGAUCAUCCUGAAUUACAUGAGACCCUAACUCAAAAACAAAACAAUACAAACAAACAAAAAAUGAAAUUAAAGUGACAUAAACUCCAAAAUAUGAGUCUGAAGGAAGGAAAACCUGUCUGUAACACCUUCAGUAAGUCAUUCAGGUAAGAAGAACUGAUGUCAUGAAGGUUAUGGGAAUGCGGGCUAGAGACUGGCAGCUGCGCAGACUCAGAGCAAAGCCAUCAAAGGCCACUUACUGAUUCUCAAGGGAAAAUUAACCCAUUACUACUGUCUGCAAAUUUAGCUUCAACAAGUGACAAAGAUCAAUAAGACAAUCAACAUGUACAAUCAAAAUCACCUAUGCAUCUAUGCAACGCAAAGAAAACAUCACUUUAGGGACUGUCCCAGCAAAGUGUACCCAGAUCAGGAACAUGCCACACAACUCAAGGCUCAGGCUCAGUGGUAACAUGUUUGCUUAGCAAUUUAAAGCCCUGUACAUCUUGCCAAAAAUCAGGAGCCCUAAAGAAAGACUAAGUUGUUACAAAAUAAAGAGGUAAUUUGUAACCCACUCCAGUCUUUCUGUAGCACUGGGCAUCAAUGGAGACAUUAAUAAGACCUCCAGGUUAUGGAUACAUGAGUCCUCUGAACUGUUCUAAGAACUUAUCUUAUAAGUUUAAAACAUUGAAAGUUCUUUCAAUUUCUUCCCACAAUUCAAAGAAUCACUGUGUAUACUCUACUGGAUGGGCAGAAACUUACAGCUGACGUGGCUUUCUUACAUACUCAGAAUACUACAAUUACAUAUAUCUAACCAUACUUCUUGUUUGGUGUAUAAAGCAGUCAACCUUGUUCUAAAGCAACUGCUACUCUCUACUGCUACGGCCUUUAAUGUCACCUACCUGAUACUGAGCACUGUCAACAGACAGCCAGAUAGGUGACAGGAAGUCAAAGCUAGAGUUUCUGUGAUUAAAACUUAUAACACCCAGACCUCAUGCUCAAGUAGUCUCUACUUCAACCUGCUUUCUUUUUCUGAACAAAAAUACUUUGAUAUUUGUUAACUGUGCAUAAUUAAUGCUAGCUCACCAUGCAUAAUUUGUUUUCUAUGUAUUAUGAAAAUAUAGAGCACAUGAAUGUGGCUCCUGCUUACUCUGAGAAGCUAAGAAGAAUAUCCGGCAUAAAAGAAAUAUAAUAAAUGAAUGAAGACAGACUCUCUAACAUAAAAACAGAAUUUAUCUUGUUUGAAUGCCCAUGGAAUAGUUAAGAAAACGUAUUAAGGGGCUAGGGAUUUAGCUCAGUGGUAGAGCGCUUGCCUAGGAAGCGCAAGGCCCUGGGUUCGAUCCCCAGCUCCGAAAAAAAGAACCAAAAAAAAAAAAAAAAGAAAACGUAUUAAUGAUGAUUGACGAUAAAUGGAUUUUAAAGUAGAAUAGUAUUAGAGCAGCAGUGCAUGGUCAGAAAAUAAUCAGAAUAUACCAAGACGUCAGGACCAAAUAAGAAGGCACCAUGGUUAAACCGUUGCAUAAAGGAAACUGCAAACAUACUCACACUAAGGAAAGAGAAGAAAAAACAGGAAAAUACCCUUUGGCUCUUGAAAAAAGGAGGCAUUUUGCAUAUUGACAACUGUGAAAUUUAAAAGACAUGUUUCCCUUUAAUUUAGAAAUUCUUCAUUUGAUAAUUUAGCAGGCAAACCACAGUAAUGUUUCAUAAAGAUACUACAAGCUGGGAUCUGCUGCAACUGCUUAGACACUGUGAAACUGGAGUCCAAAUCAUGUGGCACCGGAGGCACGCUGUGGACUAUUAUCUGAGCACUACCAAACAAACAAACAAAAUCAAUGAAACAAAAAUCCUCAAGGGUCUUUCACAAACAAUUAUUUUUCACAAAUUGGCACAUGAAUAUACACCAAAACUUAAAAUUCUAAGUAUUAAUGAAUGGAUAAAAGAUACAGAAUGCACAUCAUUAUGUUAACGCGGCUAUAGGGAUUAGAAAAUCGUAUGUGAUUUUUAAAAUUAGCUUGUUUUUAAAAGUGCUUUUGGAUUUUAUGUGUAUGAGUGUUUGUACCAUGUAUGUGCACUGUGUACCUGAAGCCACAGAAGCCAAGCUCCUGGAACUAUGACUAAAGACAGUUCUGUUACCAUGGUGACUAAGUUAACCAAGUCAUAACUUCUGCAAUGGCAGCAUGUGCUCUGAACUGCUGAGACAUUUCUGCAGGCCCCAUUAGUUUAUUCCUCUUUCAAAACAGGGUAUCGGCUCGAAAGAGGAUUCAGCGGUUAACUCUAUGCUGAAUUCUUCCAAAGAACCCAAGUUCAGUUCGAGCACCCAUGUCAGGAGGCUCAAAAAAAGCAGUCUACAGCCUUCUGUAAUCUGAAUUGCAGGAGGAUCCGAUAUCCUCUUCAAGGCCUCCAUGAGCACUGCACACACAUGAACAAAUACUAACACACACACACACACACACACACACAAUUAAAAAUAAAUCAUUUUUAAAAAGAUAAGGUGUAAGGCUGGAACAGCCUUGAAUUCUCCAUCCCUGUUAGUACCUCCUAAACCCUGGGAUUACAAACUUAACUCAACUCAUACCUGCUCUUAUUUCAUUAUGUAUGCAUGUACGUGUGCACACAGACACACAGACACACACACUCUCUCUCUCUCUCUCUCUCUCUCUCUCUCUCUCACAUGUACACACACACAAGGGUAGAAAGGACAGUAAAAAUUAAAAGAGGAACUGUUAAUAAAAAUCAAGGCAAGGGCCUGCGUCUGCAGUUGGCUAUCCGUUUAUACAGUCACCGAUGCUCAAUGUCUACAACCCACCCGCCACCCAGUAUUGUUUCUCUGGGGACAGAGUCUACUGUAGAGCUGAAUGUUCUUACAGCUGUGCUGCCAAACUGUGAGGUUUAAUCACCCACUGCAAUGGAGCAGUUUUAUAGCUGGUCCAGGGACAGUCAGUCAUCUAGGUCUUGGUGAUCACAGCACUAGUGUGAAUUAGCUACUCUUUCAAGAAAAAGGAAGAGAACCUGUUUGUUUCCUCUUGCUAGGCAAUGUCCUGGCUCUUGAUAAUGGGUUCCUUAGCCAAAGUGCAGCCAACUGUGUGCAGGAAGCUGUCACCUCUGCCUAUCACCACACUCUGGGAUUUGAAGUGGCUGACUGGCCCUCCCACACUGGACCCUCACUGACUGAGAACAGCAGCUGACUUGCUUGGAUCGAAUGGAUUUUAGCAUCUAAUUCUGGCAUCUACAGAACUGUGGCAGUUUAGUCCUUGCCACUGUGAAGGAAGGUCAAGUUAACUUCCGCUGUCUUCUUCUGCAUCCCCACCACCUCCCUGGUGUUUCUCUAUUGCCUCCCUCCACUCUGCUGCUGUCCCAUCUUCUUUCCAGGACAUACACUCCUUUGUCCAUCCCAUAGAAUAACCAGCCCCUUCACCUAUGGCCCCCGACCCCAGAACAGUUCUCUAAGACUGUGGCUCCUUCCCCUUACAGUUCAUGAAGUCAGCUUUUCUUACUGUGAGAAAUGCACAAGAGAAGGCGACUUAGAGGAGGCAACACUUACUCUGCCUCACAGUCUCAGGUAUAAGCUGAGGACACACCUAGUGACUCACUUCAUCCACAGAAGCCCCACUUUACAGUUUCUAGCAUCAGCAACUAGGAACCAUGUGUCCAACAAAUUAAGCUGUGAGGGGCACUCCAUAGCAUCCUAGUACCCAAAAUGCUCACAUCCAUCCCAGAAUAACAUUUAUUCAAUUCAUUUCUUUUUUUUAAAGAUUUAUUCAUUUAUUAUAUAUAAGUACACUGUAGCUGUCUUCAGACACACCAGGAGAGGGCAUCGGAUCUCUUUACAGAUGGUUGUGAGCCACCAUGUGGUUGCUGGGAAUUGAACUCAGGACCUCUGGAAGGGCAGUCAGGGCUCUUAACCACUGAGCCAUCUCUCCAGCCCUAUUCAAUUCAUUUCUUAUAUUUUGUGUGUGUUUUGUUUGUUUUGGAGACAGGGUUUCACUAUUUAGCCCUGGCUGGCCUAGAAUUCAGUAUGUAGAUAAGGCUGGCCUCAAACUAAGACACUGGCCAGCCUCUACCUCCUGGAUUGAAGGAAUGAAUCUACCACUACACAUAGUUAGGACAGUUCUAUCAUUGUGCAAACGUCUAAGAGCAAAAUCUCUUCUGAAACUCAAAGCAAACUCUGGGAGGACCUGUAAAAUUCCAAAAACAAGUCAUACACUUCCGGUAUACAAUAUGCUAUGUUACUUUUCCUUCCUUUUCCCAAAGAAGACAGUGAUGACCAACGCAAACCAAAAUAAAGGGUUUUCCUGAGAACUUGGGUUUCUUACAAGGCAGCUGUGGUACCCCAAAGCCCACUUUAGCAAGGGGACUGGAGAUCCCUAAAAGACUCACCAUCGGUUGGCCUGCCACUGUUCACUGUAUAUAUUAAGGGGAACCUUGCCACCACCUGAGUUUCUUGGGCCUUGUAUCAGUAGUUUUCUGAAGCUUAUAAGCCUCCUUUCUCCCCAAGAAAGAAGUUUUAAUUCAGAGGAAAUAGCUAAGCACACAAUGGUAGAGAGUAAAAUACCCAUACCAAAAUGAAGAAACAGAAUGAAGAGCAAAGAACUCAACCAAGGCGAGCCCUAUUGUGUAGGUUGCCUAUAGCUUUCCUUGAACAAACGCUCCACAUCCCUAAUAUCUCCAAAUUCCGUAGGUAUCGACAGCAACUUGGGCUUCACUCAAUAGCUUCACACAUUACCCACUGGGGGCAGGUGCCAGCACUGUGACCUAGCCAUACACUGCCUGACCUCCUAGUGUUUCCUCUGAAAUCUCAGUGAAGUCUAAGACUUCCUGAAAGUCUUUACCUGUCUGAAUAAUUAAUUACAUGGAUAAUACCAAGGACAGCUUAACCAGAAUCCACACCUUGCAGCAGCCUGAGCGCUGUGACAACUGAGCACAGGAAAAUCCAAAACUGUGGAUUAACACCCUUACUUGGGCACUAGUUAUAUAGCAAGAAGAAAACAGAAUAAGAAAACGAGAUGAUUUCCAAGAUGAUCUAAGGCAUUUUACUAUUAUCCAAGUAUUUGUCUUUUUUUUUUUUUUAAGUGCUAAAUACAGAACCAAGGGCCACUGGCAUCGUCUAAGAAAGUGUUAUACUUGAAGGGAAGGGCUCAUUGGUUAACAGUGCCUGAUGCUUCUUCAGAGGGCUGGGGUUCAGUUCCCAGAACUCACAUGGCAGUCUGUAAGUCCAGUUGCAAGGGAUCUGACUCCCUCUUCUGGCUUCUUUGGUAUCAGGAACAUACAUACAUACAUACAUACAUACAUACAUACAUACAUACAUACACAUACACAUACAUACAAGGUUGCUGUUUGCCUAUUAUGUUUGUGUGUAUGUAUGUGAUAUGUGAUGUGUGUAUAUAUAUGCAAAAACAUUCAUAUAAAUAAUAGAACAAAUCUUGAAGAAGAGGAGGAGAAUAAGGACAGAAGGAAGCUGCAUCCUCAGACCACAGCUUUUUUUCUUUCUCAUAGCUCAGAUCUCUUUGAACUCAACUUCUUCAAUAUGCAUUUACUUGUUUUCUGGGCAAACUAUAAACUUUUAAAUGUCUCAGUGUACUUUUUUGUUAAAAUUCUCACAGUAAACUUGGAUAUCAAGAGACCAGCAAUAAGCACAUCCCAAUCCAAAUACCAGGCUGCCUUCAACUCUCUUUCAGCACAGUUAUUAGUCUAGUAUGAUUAAAUUCAGCUGAGAGAGUCUCAGGUCAUGCUCAAGAUGAGACACAGGGUUUGCUACAAGGUAACAGGAAUGAUUCACCUCUAUUGCAGUUUGAGAGUAGCCUCGACUCCAUCUGGGUCUAACCAUAGUCGUUCCUACACCCCUGGUAGGAUGUUCGGCUUCUGAGCUCCUGCCAGAAUGAUUGUAAGCGCCACUUGCAGCACAUGAAGCUGUUUCCGCAGCCUUUUAUCGAUCUUUCCAACAGAGACACUGCCUUGGGAAGCACGUGGCCAGAGCCACACCCCACCGUGUCCCACUUUCUGUGAGAUUUCCAACACUGUAACAAACAGCUACAAAACAGCAAACUAAGGAACCACGAUUUAGAGCAGCUUUCAGUCCAUGGCUGGCCUGCUCUGUACUCUGCCCUGGAGCUUAGGUUUAUAUAAGGAGAAAGUGAAAACAGCAAGCAUUAGUUAACAUUGGUUAAAUGGGAUUAACAACCUUACUUGGACACUAGAUACAUAGGAAGAAAAACAGAAUAAGAAAGUCUCAUCUGAGACAACAGAGAUAAAGCUUAUGGACUGACGUCUGCUUCUGUAAACCUGCCUGCCCCUUCCCCCUUUUUCUGGAAACGAGCAGACAGCAAGUAGCUGACUUGACUACACCCCUGAAAUGUUCACCUUCUAUAAAACGUGCUUGGCUCUGGAAAAACACUCCUUUGGGGCAGAGAUGAAAAGACCACCCAGGAUGGUCUCAUAACAACGUAAGCUGUGAAGUAUUCUCAUGGGGCUGGGCCUCUCUAACACUAGCUAGAGGCCACAGCUCCACAAGAAUAAAAGGGCUUCCCUUUUUCUCAAGUGCUGAGAAUUUCUUGUUGGCGAAGGGUGAGUAGCCUUAAGCAGGUGAGGUAAAACAUCACAGCAAUGGAGCAUAUGUGAAAGACUCACUUCUGGUAGCCAAGAAGACCAGGGACCCAAUUUCUACACAAUGUAGCACUGACAGCUGAGAGCCAAGCUGUCACCAUGUAAGUCUACUGGGGACAUUUCCCACAGGUCCCAGGAACCUACAUGUGAAAGGAGAUAACCAAACCCCAAAAGUUGUCCUUUGCCCUCCAUCACAGCACAUACACCUCACCACACAUAAAUACAUACAUACAUACAUACAUACAUACAUACAUACAUACAUACAGAUAUACACACACACAAAUAAACAAAAAUAAUUGAAAUAUAUAAAUAAAUAGAUCACCAGAGAAAAUGCCUUAUAACAGAAGACACUUGGUAAGGCUGAGUAUUUUCAAAGGCUACUUCUGGAGAAAUAAAGUGUUUUACUUUCCAGUUAAGCAAAACUACAUCUUGUAAUUCAGACUUAUUUUGAAUAUACCAUCAAUUAUAAAAUGUCAACAUCAGUUACUAGCUACAUCACAGUCAAAGAGGACAUAAUGCUUGCUGCUCUCAAAUCCAAACCCUAAUGAAGCCAUUCAGCUAUGCAUUUGAUGCUAUAUUUCCACAGCACAAAUGAGUGGAGAAUCAAUGUACUUAUUUUUAUCUACUUACCUGUAGUCAGACUGCCGGCUUGUGGAAUGAUCAUCUCUUGUCCAUCUGUAGCCAAAUUCAUCCUGAAAAAUAAAAAAACAAUAAUUUGGGUUUUCGUCAGCCUCUUUCUGAACACCCUCUGAGGUAAAAUUACAAUGAGAGUAAGAUCACUUCUCUAGGGAUGCCUGAGCUUCCAAAAAAUUAGUACUAAAGAUACAAGUCACCCAUUUCAGCUACUAAGGUCGACUAUGAGCCUGUGGUACCACUUACCUGUAUGUUACAAACUUCAUUAUCCCCGCCAGGAGACUCACAAAGACUUAGUGCCACAGAUACCUGAACAGACAUGACAACAGAUACCAGCCAUCUGCAGACAAAGGCCCAGUCAAGUCAAGUGUACACUGACCCGCCUUUUCAUUUUCCAAGCUCUCUCUCUCACCAAUGUUCUUUUUUCCAUCUUGCUUGUUUUCUUUCCUCAUUUAGCUCUCAAUAAAGGUGUAAUUAGAAGCAAUCUAGCAAGAACUUUCUCUGACAAACAAUAUUGUGACACAUGAUACAAACUUUAAAUUAAUCAGGUAAAGCCAUUUUGUCCUCUAAGACUCCUACUCCUGCACAGGGGACUGAAGAGAUGGCCCAGUGGUUAAGAACACUGACUGUUCUUCCUGAGGUCCUGAGUUCAAGUCCAGAACUCACAUGGGGGCUCACAGCCAUCUGUAAUGAGAUCCAAACAUGUGUAUGUGAAGAUAAAGCACUGAUAUAUAACGAAAAAGUAAAUAAAUAUUAAGAAAAAACCCCACAUGGAGCUGAAGAGAUGGCUCAGUGCUACUCUUACAGAGAACCUAUGUUUGAUUCUCAGUACCCAGAGGUGAUCCAGUGUCUUCUUUUGGCCUCUAUGGGAACUGAACAUCCACAUGCAGGAAAAACACCUAUAUAAUAAAAAUAUAGGCUUGGCAAGGAGGUACAUGCUUUUAUUCUCAGCACUCCAGAGGCAGAUCUGUGAGCUCAAGACCAGCCUGGUCUACAUAGCAAGUCCCGGCACCAGGACUAUAGAGACUCUGUCUCAAGAAAACUAAAAGAAGUAAAAAAUAAAGAACGCAACAUGCAAACUACUUACAGUAAGAGACUAAUAUCGCUAAGAUAUUUUUUAUUUUCCCAAUGAACAUUACAAACCCAACACUUUUCUAAAUAAAAUGUGUCCAGAUUUUCAUUAUCAACUUUAAAUAUAAUGAAGAGAAAAUAAAAACUCCAUAGCUGGGCUGGAGUGAUGGCUCAGUGGUUAGAGCACUGACUGCUCUUCCAGAGGUCCUGAGUUCAAUUCCCAGCAACCACAUCAUGGUGGCUCACAACCAUCUGUAAUGAGAUCUGAUGCCCUCUUCUGGUGUGUCUGAAGACAGCUGCAGUGUACUCACAUAAAUAAAAUAAAUAUUAAAAAAAAAAAGAAAAAAACUCCAUAGCUAUAAUAAUAAAACACUGGAUCCAGUAAGUACUUUCUAUAAGUAAAUUCAAGAUAAAAAUUAGUGUUCUAAAAGUUCUAAGGACUAUAGGUGUGCCAGUUGUUUAUGAAAAGAGAAAAAAAUGUACCUCACAUCUAAGAACAAACAAGUUUUUGUGUUAACAUGGCUUUGUUUUGUGGUAUUGAGGAUCCAACUUAAGGCUUCCUGACACGCAGAGCAAGAACUCUGGCCGCUGAACUGAGCCAGUACAGACAAUGUGGGAGAGAGAAAGAGCGCCUGUGCCACUGCUGAACCUUACUAUAGACUUCCAGACAGCACUCACAUUCACAAGACGGCAGACACCAGCCAGUGAAAACAAAACUCCUCAAAUGGACACAAGGGUUCAAGAGGGCAAGAGAUUCCACUUCAAACCAGAUACACUCAAACUAAUAGAAGAAAAAGUGGGGACCAGUCAAUCACAUGGGCACUGGGGAAAUUUCCUGAACAAAACACCAGUGGCUUAUGCUCUAAGAUUAAGAAUUGACAAAUGGGACUUCAUAAAACUGCAAAGCUUCUGUAAGGUAAAGGACACUGUCAUUAGGACAAAAGAGCAACCAACAGACUGGGAAAAGAUCUUUACCAAUCCUACAACUGAUAGAGGGUUAAUAUCCAAAAUAUACAAAGAACUCAAGAAGUUAGACUCCAGAGAGCCAAACAAUCCUAUUAAAAAAUGGGGUACAGAGCUAAACAAAGAAUUCUCAGCUGAGGAAUUUGGAUGGCUGAGAAACACCUAAAGACAUGUUCAACAUCCUUAAUCAUAAGGGAAAUGCAAAUCAAAACAACCCUGAGAUUCCACCUCACACCAGUCAGAAUGGCUAAGACAAAAAAACUCAGGCGACAGCAGAUACUGUCAAGGAUGUGGAGAAAGAGGAACACUCCUCCAUUGUUGGUGGGAUUGCAGACUGGUACAACCAUUCUGGAAAUCCAUCUGGAGGUUCCUCAGAAAAGUGGACAUUGCACUAUCUGAAGAUCCAGCUAUACCUCUCCUGGGCAUAUACCCAAAAGAUCCCCCAGCAUAUAACGAAGACACAAGCUCCACUAUGUUCAUAGCAGUCUUAUUUAUAAUAGCCAGAAGCUGGAAAGAACCCAGAUGCCCUUCAACAGAGGAAUGGAUACAGAAAAUGUGGUACAUCUACACAAUGGAAUAUUACUCAGCUAUCAAAAACAAUGACUUCAUGAAAUUCAUAGGAAAAUGGAUUGAACUAGAAAAUAUCAUCCUGAGGUAACCCAAUCACAGAAAAACACACAUGGUAUGCACUCACUGAUAAGUGGAUAUUAGCCUAAAAGCUCGAAUUACCCAAGAUAACAAUCCACAGACCACAUGAAGCUCAAGAAGGAUGAUCAAAAUGCAGAUGCUUCACUCCUUCUUAAAGGGGGGAUCAAAAAUAUUCAUAGGAGGGGAUAUGGAGGCAAAGUCUGGAGCAGAGACUGAGGGAACAGCCAUUCAGAGUCCGCCCCACAUGUGCCAUAUAUAUAUCUCCAAGACUAGGUAAGAUGGAUGAAGCUAAGUGCAUGCUGACAGGAACCGGAUAUAGAUCUCUCCUGAGAGACACAGCCAGAGCAUGUCAAAUACAGAGGCAAAUGCUAGCAGCAAACCACUGAACUGAGAACGGGACCCCCGGUUGGAAGAGUUAGAGAAAAGAUUGAAAGAACUGAAAGGGCUUGCAACCCAAUAAGAACAACAAUGCCAACCAACCAGAGCUCCCAGGGACAAAACCACUACACAAAGACUAUAGAUGGAUUGACCCAGGGCUCCAACUGCAUAUGUAGCAGAGAAGAGCCUUGUUGGGCACCAAUGGAAGGGGAAGCCCUUGGUCCUGCCAAGGCUGGACUUCCGCCCCCCCCAGGGUAGGGGAAUGUCAGAGGUACGGGAAGGGGGGUUGGAUUGGGAGGGGGAACACCCUUAUAGAAGGGGAGGGGGAUGGGAAGGGGACAGGAAACCAGGAAGGGGAAUAACUUUUGAAAUGUAAAUUUAAAAAUAGCCAAUAAAAAAAUUAAAAAACAAUAAAGAGGACAAGAGGUGCCCAUGCUGAGGCCCAACCCUUUCUCCCUGAGAUGACCUGGAGGGUUUACUGGGAAAUGCUUGCUUCCCAGCAUCUAGACCCUCCCUAAAGGAACAGCACAGCACUAUAGAUAAGGAAGCUGUAGCACAGCAAACUUCAGUCACAGUCACUAGAGACCACUACCAGGGCUCAUCACCGCCUGAGAACACUCAGCACUCACAGCUGUAAAUGACCACGAGACCUGGAGGUCUGCACACAGCCCUGGAGUCACUUCCCUCCAUCUCUUCAACUGCCACCAUGAGGUCAACAGUACAGUGUUUAUGCUACUAGUCACCGGGUCAAAUAGUACAGGAGAGAAAAAACAAACAGUAUAGAAGAAUAAUAUUCUAAUUUGCAAGCUAGGACAUUAGCAAUUGCUUCCAACAUGUCAAUAAAAUUAAUAAAUUAAAAAAAAUUUCAAAUACCUUCUGGAUUAUCAAGGACACAUUAAAUAUAAGCAGCUAACAUUUUACUUUCGGAAACAUGGCUUUACUACCCUCUAAUCUUAAAUAGUAAAAAAGCUCUUCAAAGCAAACAGAUCUUAAGAAUGCGAACAAAAAGUGAGACAGUCAACUUAAGCCCACUUUACCACAGUGGUUUUCAUGUUAGAAAUACAGCAAUUAUAAACACAAAGUGACAAGCAGUGACACCAGCUCAUCACUGACCGUCAGGUGUGAGUCUGCACAUCCCUGCAAGGCUGAGGCUGAGGUGAAUGAAGCACAGGCUAGGUGUUCAGCUCAGUAGUGCUCACCUAGCACAAGGGAGGCCAUGGCCUUGCUGUCCAGCACCACACAAAGCCAACCGCAUUGGAAGUAUUCAUGUCACUCAAAACUAUCAGGAUCCAGCGUCACGAGAUCUCUGACCUCUAUCUAGUCCCCUCUGGAGCUACAGCUGGCAGCCAACAGCAUCUAACAGAAGGGCAACCAAACUCUGAAAACCUAGCACUCUGGCACCCAGGAGGCUGAGACAGGAGGACAGCAAGCACCAGGCAGGUGGGACCUAUCCAGUAAGACCCUAGUACAAACGGGGAGGGAGGGCUGCAACUAAAAUCAGGCUAAGCAACACAACAGAACACAGGCAUCAGGCUCCACUUCCACCUGGACACAGCACCAUGAUCCCACUUUCAAGGCCUGCACAGAAACUUCAGUCACACGGAUUUUAAACUUGAAAGAAAGAACAAUUAGUACACGGGGGAAAUUUACAUACUCCUCUGUGAGAUGGGCCACUUCUUCGAUCAUGAGAAAAACUGCGGCCCUCGUUACAUACUCGGCAAUCAACAUGAGUGUAAUAUCUAUUGUAGCCUUCAUCGGGUCUGGCUAGCAGAGGUGGUCUCUUGUCUAGGAGAGGUGGUCUCUUGUCUAGGAGAGGUGGUCUCUUUGGCACAACAUUAACUACUCUAUGGUAGCCAUCCUAAAACAGACAAAAAGAAAUAUAGAAACAUCACUAAUUUCUCUAUUUGGUUUUGGAAAUGUUUCUUAUAAGCACAGGAGUUCUUAACCAUAAUUCAAUAGAGUAAAUGUACGAAUCAACAAAAACACACCAAUAAAAACGUGACUAUAACAAUGUAACUAAUAGUAACAUCUUCAUAUAAAUUAGUGGAAAUAAAAUAUUUCAGUGAAAAAGCAGCCCCAAGCGUUCACAGUAACACAUAACAAUACAAGGUAACAGUCCUAAGAAGGGGGGUGGAGCACUUGCUGUUUUUUCAAAAGAUCCAGGUUUGGUUCCCAGAACCCAGAUGGUGGCUCACAACUGUCUGUAAAAUCAGGUCCAGGGAAUGUGACACCCUCUUCUGACCCCUAUGGGUACUGUAUAUACAUGGCGCAUACACAUGCAAGCAAAACACGUGUACACAUAAAGCUAAGCUAAAUCUAAAUAAUAUACUGUAAGUAAAAGAGGUCAUUUUACCCACUACUACUGCACACCCUAGGAAGGGUCCAGCAGCAUUCAUUGUUCUUAAUGACAGUGGGUCAGCAGCACUCUGUUUGGUCUACAUUGUCUGUUUUAUUAGAGUAGACACAGAGCUUAUGCCCACAAGCCUGCGAACAGGGAUGAGCGGAUUCUGAACUAGGAAGAGCAGAAGGAAACACUCUCCUUCCCAGAAGCUCCAGAGCAUAAGUAUCUUUAGCUCUUUACAUUUAGACACAAAGUAUAAAAGCUGAUCUAAAAUUAGAACUAGUUUCCAAAGUUAUAUAUUCAUGAUGAUUUGAAAUAUUUAGUAACUUGUUAGGGGUUGCAGAGAUAGCCCAGGGGUAAAAGGCACUGACUGCUCUCCCAGGGUCUAGUCAAUUUCAGCACAUGGUAGCUCACAGCAGUCUAGAACCCUAGUCCAGGGAACUGAAGCUACUGUGGCUUCCUUGGGCAGGGCAUACAUACCUGCACAGACCUAUUACAUGUAUACAGAAUACGCAUAUGCAUAAAAAAGAUAAGAUCUACAGGACAUGCCAUAAUCUGGCCUAAGCUUUCCAAGGAAAUCCACCGACAGAUUUCUGUUUUAUUGAGACAUGUUCUCACUCUGCAGUCUAUGGCCUCCACCAGUCUUGCUUUGUGAGGCAGAAUUUCACACUAUAUCAAGAAUGGCUUGGAACAAGGACAACUCCUGUCUUAGCCUCCUAAGUGCUGGAAUUACACGUGGCUUAGCACGCGCACAGUAAAGAAGUCAAUUUUAAAAAUAAGCCAUCUUAAGUUUCCAUAUUCCAAUUUUUAAAACUCUACUAUGAAACAUAUUUUUAUCUUAGUAAAACCAUCAACUAGAUGGUUGAAUAAUUUGACACAUAAUUCUAUAUUAUACUUUCCACCCAAAUAUUAAAUCUCAUAAUUAACUGGAUACAAAUUAAAUCAUUUAAGGGCAUUUAUUUCAAAGUAUUUCUUGAGAUUAGGGUGACAUACAGUUGUAGAGCAGGGAUUAGCAUUCAUAAGGCCCUACAUUAGGGCUGGAGAGAUGGCUCAGAGGUUAAGAGCACUGACUGCUCUUCCAGAGGUCCUGAGUUCAAUUCCCAGCAACCACAUGGUGACUCACAACCACCUAUAAUCAGGUCUGGUGCCCUCUUCUGGCCUGUAGUUGCAUACAUGCAGGCAGAAAGCUGUAUGAUGUAUACAUAAUAAAUAAAUAAAUGUUUAAAAAAAAAAAAAAAAGGGCCCUACAUUAAUCCCCUAAAACAAAACCCACAAAUUUCCUAAUAUAUCAUUAAACAUAUGUGAACUUAUUUUAGCACAAAAACAUAGUGUUUUUUAUUUUUUCAUUUUUUUAAUGUAUGGUAUAAGUCCACAUGCUUGCGAUAAUUCACAUGUAGAGGCCAGAGGAAAUUUCAAGAGUCAGUUCUCCAAAUCCACCAUGUGGUUCCUGGAGAUGGAUCUCAGGCAGUCAGGUUUGGUAGCAAGUACUUUUACCCACUGGGCUAUUGUGCAUCCUAUAUAAAACGUCUUAUUUAAAAUUAAAAUGUUAUAUAAGGACCUUCCUUAAACAUCUUUAUGCUUUAGAGACAUAAGAAAUGUUUAUAUAUGAAACAUGAAUAGUAUAUUUACUUCAAAAUAGCCUUCAAAAGAGAGCCAGUGAUCAAGAACACAGGCUGCUAUUCUAAAGAGCCUGGGUCCAAUUCCUAGCACCUACAUAGCAAUUCUCAACAGUCUAUAAUCAGCUCUGGCCCCAGGGGCUCCAACACCCUUCUGACCUUAAGCACCAGGCAUGCACAGACAUAAGUGCAGACAAAACACUGGUACACAAUGUAAAUAAAAGUUUUUAAAUGAGAUAGAACAACCUAGAAAAGUGGAAAAUGAAGACUAGAACACAAGUAACCAAAAGUAGACAAUUGCUGCUCUCUUGGCACAUACUUUGUCACUUAUCUUGCCUACUCUUAAAUACUUUUUUUUUCUUUAUAAAGAGCCAAACAUAAGCCAAGCACAGUUAGACAUUGCCUCCAAUCCCAUAAUUUAUAAUACAUAUAAAUUAUAGCAUAUAUAAAAUAUGUAAAAUGCUAUAAUCUAUGCUAUAAAUAUAUAUUUACACUAAUUGCUCACUCAGAUACAGAUGUCUAGGGGUCAACACAGUGGUUCAGAGGGACAUCAAACAACAGAUCAAAAUAUUUUAGGCUGACCCUACCCUCUAGAUAUAUAUCAUUAUAGAACUUGGCCAAAAUAUUACAGUAUCUUUUCUGACAAGAGUCACAAAAAGAUGUUAAGGCCUCAAAAUCCUGUCAAUUAAGAAAUAAAAUAUGCAAUGUGCGCCCUCCCAUAGGACCCUUUGUGAUACCUAGAUUAUCCCACCCAUUCCCAGACUUCCAAUGUCCUCCUCUAAUAUCUAGCCUAGUGAGCACCCUGACCUCUUCAUCCACACUUCUUGUGUGAUUAACCAGAUUUAGCUAGGUCCUACAACAUAGACUGGCCUUCCCCGCCUUCACUGCAGGGAUGUGGAGGCCAGCAUCCCCCUCCUAGCCACACCCAAACAACCAUACACUCCCACAUCACACCCAGGCCUAUCCACCUCCACACUCCUGGCUGGGACAGGAACAUCCUGUACAUGCUCCAGGCCCCUCUGCCCACCUGCCUACAUUCUAGCCAAGCCACACUCAAUCUCUAGACCCAGGCCACCAUAGCAUCCUCUUCUCCCUAGCCCUGCUCCUUCAGUAACAAACCUAAGACUCUAUAUACACAGCAUGGAGACAAAGAAAGCCUACAUGUCCAGAUCUCAUCAGAGAAUACUACAAUAUGAAAGACCAAGACAGCAUCGUCCCUCCAGAACUGACCAGUUCUGUAGAAAGGUUUAACUACGAACCCCAGGACACUGAACUCAGAAGAACAAUCAUAAACCACAUCAAAGAACUCAAGGAGUUUCAGGAAGACACAAGCAGCUCAGCGAGAUCAAGGAGAAGGAGCUUAAGAAGAAUAAACCUCUGAGUGAGUGUUGCCCACGACAAGGCUGACAGAAAUACCAAAGACAAUACCAGACAGGAAAACGGAGUAAUAAAUAAAAAUACUGAAGAGAACUCAAGCUGAAAUGAAGACGGAACUGAAAUGAAAGAAUCAAACUAGAAGACUCAAAGAAAAGCCUUGCGAUCUUAAUCAUCAGAACAUAGAAUAUCAGGUCUCGAAGUUAAAAGAGGCUCUAGAUCAAAUAAGCAGGAAUGAUGAAAAAGACAUUAAAAACACAAAAGGAACACAGAAAAUGUGGGACAGCAAUAAAAACCAAACCUUUGGAUUACAGGCAGAAGAGGUAAACUAUAAGCCAGCCCCAGUUAAAUGAUUGCCUUUUAUAAGAGUUGCCUUGGUCACGGUGUCUCUUCACAGCAAUAGAACCCUAACUAAGACAGCACCUAACAACAAAGCAGAGAGCUAGUUACAAAGCUAACUGGAUGAGCUGUCCCUGGGUGGACAGGGGAUUAUCACCCCAAUCCAGUCACUGUGUAGAACAAGUCUUUCCUUGCAUUCCCUCCAGUGUUUCCUCCCUGUGAUAACAAUUGCCCUGGCUAUUUUGGCUUGUUUGAAAUGUUUAUGUAAAGGAACUCUAGGAGACACACUGCUGAACCCAGCUUCUGGCCUUCGGUGCUAUGUAAAGUUCAACCAUGCUGCUGGAUCUGGCAGUAGGCCACUUACCCCACUAGUGGAUUAUCUAACUAGUUCACACGUUCCUCCUGUUAGACAUUCAGGCUGCUGCCAGCUCAACACUCCCGUACCAACGCUGCUUAUAAACAAGCAUGCAAUGGUUUCAAAUUAAUGUUAGAAGACCUCUGUUUCAUAAGCAAGGAUUUUAGAACUUUAUUUACUUCUAUGUAUGUGUGUGUGCCUGGUAAACCUAGGUGCUGGUGCCAGAGGUCAGAGGCCAUCAGAUAUCCUGGAGCUAGAGUUACAGAUGGUUGUAAGCUGCCGGACAGGAGUCCUCUGGAAGAGCAGUAAGUGCUGUGCUCCUGAGCCCUCUCUCCAGCCCCUUAAAAUCGUGUAUAUGGGGUAGGUUUUUAACUAAAUCCAGUGUUAGGAACAACAGCUGCAUUUGCGAUUUCUACACUUUUCUACAAAUGCCAAUGUGUCCAUUAAAGUCAGGCAUGAAUAUAAAACCACUUUGGGAAGACACAUGGAUGGCUGUAAGCACUGGUCGACUCUUGGGAGGCUGACGAAGGAAGAAAACUUGUUUUCCCUGAAUAGAAAUCAGCACAACAGCAAGAACCACCUGUGACUUUGUCGGUAACAAAAAUCGCUGGUCUAUUCAAACCAGGUGUGGUAGUUUGAAUACGGCGUCCUUAGUCGCAGGCAUUUGAAUGCUUAGUCUCUAGUUGGCGAUGCUGUUUGGGGAGGCUUAAAGGUGGGACCUUAUUGGAAAAGGUAUGUUACUAGAGUUUUAAGAGUUUAAAAGACUGCCAUUUUGGGACCCCUUUCUCUUCUCUCUGCUUUGUCCAUGCAAUUAAAGAUUUAGCUCUCAACUUGCUGCUCCAGGCACCAUGCCUGCCAACUUCUCUGCCAUUACUGACCUUACAUACUUCAGGUACUGUGAACCAAAACAAGUCCUUCCUGUGUAAACUGCCUCAGCCAUGGUGUUUUAUCAGAGAAGCCGAAAGUGGCUAGUAUAGCAGAUUAUAGCCAUCGGUCCACACAUCUGAUCAUGAUACUCAUCACCAACUCUAGCAAACCCUUCCACGAGAUCUGGAUAUCUAGCCACUGACUGCUAUAGCUUCUACCUCCUGUAGGGGUCAUCUCUUAUGUACUGUGUGGAAGCAUACAUGUCAAUCAAUGAAAAGCCUGUGGCCUGUAGGAAAGAGUAGAACAGGGAGGGGUAUCUCCAGCACAGAGGGGGACCUAUGGGAAAGAGUCAAGCAUGGGAAGAUCCCAAACACUAGCCUUACAUGCUGGUAUAAAACACAGAAAUACCCGACAGGAAGACUUCAUGUCACUAGUAGCAUGUUUUAAAAGAUGGCAGUGGGGCUGGGGAUUUAGCUCAGCGGUAGAGCGCUUGCCUAGGAAGCGCAAGGCCCUGGGUUCGGUCCCCAGCUCUGAAAAAAAGAACCAAAAAAAAGAUGGCAGCACCCACCACCUGCCCUUUUUCUACCCCCCCCCCUUUUUUUGAGAUGUUUGGGAUCAGUCCAGAGGACCAGAAAUGUUAGGCAAGCACUAACUACAUUACACCCUCAGGUCUUCUACUCUAAUUCUCAGCCCAUUCUAGGAAAUCUGUGCUCUAAACACCAAUUGCCUAUCCUUUUACCAAAAGGAUGGCCUUAGACCUCAAGCAUUAUCCCUUGUUCCCCACCCCCAUUUCUUUUAAACCACUUCCCCUCUCAGUUUUCACUUCCUGAUGAGGUCAUUUCACCAUACACUAACUCAAUGAUCCUAAGUCAGACUCUUCAGUAUCAGCCUGGGCCAGUCAUGCAUCUUGCAAUCUUAAAUCAAUACACUCUGCUACUCACAUCGGUAAUUUAAAGCUACUCAGUUAAGCAACCACACACCAACCCACAUCUUUCAGAUCAAUGCCCAGCUGGUAAAAUAAAAUUUCUAUUCAAGAGAUAUAUUCUUGGUGGGAAACAGAACUUAAAAUCAUAUCCAUAAAAUAAAUCUUUAAAAAGAUUUUUGGGGGGGGUUAGGGAUUUAGCUCAGUGGUAGAGCGCUUGCCUAGCAAGCGCAAGGCCCUGGGUUCGGUCCCCAGCUCCGAAAAAAAGAAAAAGGAAAAAAAAAAAAGGAUUUUUGGAAGGUAUCCCACAGCUAUGACACUUAGCAUGCAUUAGAUUUUUUAAUCCCUCUAUGCAAAUCAUAAAUGAUUUUAUCAAGUAAAAAAGGAAUAACAACCUAUGAUAGAUAAUUACUGGGUUGGGCCUUCCUAAUAUAAUGGGCUUGUUUUUUUUUUGUUGUUUUGUUUUUCUCUUUCUACCUUAAAUCAUUUUCUAUCGGGCUAAAGAGGUGGCUCAGCACUUGAGAGCCCUGACUGCUCACAUCCAUCUGUAAUGAGAUUGAUGCCCUCUUCUGGUGUGUCUGAAGACAGCUACAGUGUGCUCAUAUAUAAUAAAUAACUUUUUUUAAAAAAUCCAUUUUCUAUCAGCUCAACCUGAGCUGUGGUGCAGGAGGCCAGUGAACGGCGACUUUGAAGAUGACACUGCUCAUCUACAUGACGUACAGGAUCAAGUCAUAUACGGCCAGCGAGGCCUGGCCGCACAGUCCUGUAAGCUGCCGCAAAGCUGAGGCAGGAGGAUCACAAGGGCAAGGCCUGCAUGGGUCCUAGUGAGUUUACGAGAAAACUAGGUACUUUAAUAAGAUCUUGUCUCAGAAGAAGAAAUGAAGUAAAGGGGGUGGGGUCAGUGGAUCAGGGUCAAGUACUUGCCCUUGCUGAGAAAAGCUCUAGAUUCAAUCCCCACUGUUACAGCCACACACACAAACCCUUAACACUGUAAGUAAAAAAUUCUUGACAGGUAAACAAAUAUUUAUGCCUUUUGUGGUAGACAAAACAUCCACAUAACAUUCUACCCAAUGUUCAAGAUGUGUCUGUGCAGAAGACUAAGGGCUUCUUGACCUCCAAACCUCCUUGCAGUCCUCCAUGUACAACUCCAGAGAGAAUAUAUCCAGUCGCUUAACAAAUGCUGAGCUUCCGCUACAUAUGGGACUAGAUACAGCUCCAGGGACAGGAAAUAAGGUUACCAAGAAUAUUAGAGUCUAGCUCAGAAGCCCCAACUCUCAGAAUAGCAGACAGAAAAUCAGAAUUAUCUGUCCCUUGUGACAUCGGCAUUCUUCUCACCUAUAGGCUGCCCGACCAAGCACAGGCAAGCCAGUGCUAACUAGAAUAUCCACAUGCUUCUGCUCCAGAAAGACUCCCAUAAAACGACGAUCUCUGGGUAUGGGUAAACGGUUAUAUUAAAUCAUAACUUCAACUUUAAUAUAACUUUUGUUGUUGUAGGCUGGACCAGGCUUGCCUUGAAUUCAGAGACCCACCUGCCUCUGCCUCCCAGGGCUGAACUACUUCCCGAGUGACACCGUGCCAGCCUCGACUUGUAAACACUAGGGUGACAGAGUAACAGCAGCCACCAGAGUAGAUGUUCAACAGUUCUCUGUUACCGCGUAGUACAAUAUUAGCAAAGAUUUUCCUCCACCAACUAAAUUCAACUCAAAAUCUUUUCCCUAGAAACUUGAAUAUAUAAUACAGAUUUUUUUUGCUUUUUAAAAUGAUACUAGAAGAUGCUAAAGAAGGCAAAAUGGCAGCAAGUUCUGCGUGUGCUUUCCUCCACGAGGCCCUGACUUACACUGGGAUGGCUCCGGGGAGGCACUCGUUCUCUCGGAAGUCGCUCGUAGUCAUAGCGUCCCUCAGACCACAUUUCAUCUCUUGUGGAAGCCACUAAAAAGAAACAAACAAUUCUGGGUUUUCUUUGUCGCAAGGAAGAGACAAUAAAGAAGCAAAUGCCUGCCAAGACACCCAAGAAGCUGAGCGAGGAGGGAGGAAAGCAAUGUGUCCCUCAGUUAGAUUUAUAAAUACGUGUAACUGUGCACAUGAAGUCUACCUUCUAUUCAAAUGUUAUUUAAAAGUUCAAUAAAACUUUUCCCACCAAA